rnacentral:rRNA from 1 species
CUAACACAUGCAAGUCGAACGGAGUUCUUAAGGAAUGCGACUUCGGUCAAAUGACUUUUGAACUUAGUGGCGGACGGGUGAGUAACGCGUGAGCAACCUGCCUUUCAGAGGGGGAUAACAUUUGGAAACAGAUGCUAAUACCGCAUAAAAUUACCGGUACCGCAUGAUACAGUGAUCAAAGGAGCAAUCCGCUGAAAGAUGGGCUCGCGUCCGAUUAGAUAGUUGGUGAGGUAACGGCUCACCAAGUCGACGAUCGGUAGCCGGACUGAGAGGUUGAACGGCCACAUUGGGACUGAGACACGGCCCAGACUCCUACGGGAGGCAGCAGUGGGGAAUAUUGCACAAUGGGCGAAAGCCUGAUGCAGCAACGCCGCGUGAGGGAAGACGGUUUUCGGAUUGUAAACCUCUGUUUUCGGUGACGAACAAAUGACGGUAACCGAGUAGGAAGCCACGGCUAACUACGUGCCAGCAGCCGCGGUAAUACGUAGGUGGCAAGCGUUAUCCGGAAUUACUGGGUGUAAAGGGAGCGCAGGCGGGAUAGCAAGUCAGCUGUGAAAACUAUGGGCUCAACCCAUAAACUGCAGUUGAAACUGUUAUUCUUGAGUGGAGUAGAGGCAAGCGGAAUUCCGAGUGUAGCGGUGAAAUGCGUAGAUAUUCGGAGGAACACCAGUGGCGAAGGCGGCUUGCUGGGCUCUAACUGACGCUGAGGCUCGAAAGUGUGGGGAGCAAACAGGAUUAGAUACCCUGGUAGUCCACACUGUAAACGAUGAUUGCUAGGUGUGGGGGGUCUGACCCCCUCCGUGCCGGAGUUAACGCAAUAAGCAAUCCACCUGGGGAGUACGGCC